rnacentral:lncRNA from 1 species
UUUUCAUUUAUUUUUUAUUGCAAGGUUUUAACAAUAAUGGCAAUUUGCUACUGUGGAUAUUUAUGUUAAAGACCUCAAGAUUAUAUUUAUUAAUUCAGUUAAACAACAUGAUGAAAACUACAUGGUUGCUUCAGUGGAUGCUGAUCUUUUUCAUAUCAAGAUUAAACCGGUUAGAUCAUAUUUAUUUAGAGAUAUCAUUGGAUGUGGUUUCCUUUGCGUACUAAAGAAUCGACUCUUUCUAUCUAUGGAUGUCACAGUUUUGUUUGCUUCAAAAUCUAGGCUUUUUUCAAAGCCACAAUUCUGUUAAAAACAUU